AAGAUUAUAGUUUAAUAAAACAUUUGAUUUGCAUUCAAAAAAUAUUAAUUUAUUUAAUUUAUCUUA
rnacentral:tRNA from 1 species